rnacentral:lncRNA from 1 species
AUAGCAUUAAUAAUUGUGAGGCAAUCAGUGGGAUACUUGUAUAGUGGGCACCUAAUUUAUGACAAACUAACUCAAAGACCUUGGUUACUCAAAUGAACUAGUAAAAAAAAGUACAACCCAGUAUAAUCCUACUUAGUGGGGUCUGGGGAGGGUACUAUGUACGCUGAACAUACCCCUACCCUGGGGUAGAGAGGCUAUUUCCAAAUAGACCCCCAGCAUCCUUCCCUCCAAGAACUUCCCAUCUUUGCUCUUGGGGAGACUCGAACUCAAAUGAACUAGUGUAUGCAAAUAAAAAAAACAGCGAUUACCAAAUUUUAAAGGAAGUAUAGGUCUGUUGAAUUAAUGAAAUUAGAUCUAUUACACUGAAAAAAACUUCAAACAUAACAGACCUAUUGACCUUACUAAAGUGCUGAUUGUUUGGUUCCGUUCAAUGUUUGCAGAUUUCAGUUGCUAGUAUAAACAAUUAUUGAUUCCAGUUUUUGUGGAUUCACAGUUAUACUUUGCCAACCAAACCAAAUCAAUUUCUAGCAUUGGCUAUCUACUAACUUUAGUGCCUACAAGUAUAAAAUAGUCCAAUACCAAUCAAAAUAGUCCUAAGUACAUUCCAAUACCAAUCGAGCAAUUCACAUUAAUUACGAUGUAAACCUAAGCAACUAAAGCAACGAAUGCAAUGAAGCCAAAUCCUAAAACUCUUGAUGGAAGUGAAAACACAGUAGAAUUCAUCAAGCCUCAGAAUUCCAUUGCAUUUCAUUUCAUUACAGAGAUUACAACCUCGAAUGUGUACCUGGAAAUAGGGGAUAACAAAGGAGAGGAGAAAUGUCAACAAUAGAGUAGCAAUGAGCAGCAACAACUUAAAACUCAAACACGACCACAACCCAAAACAAGUUGAGGAAUCAACGGCAACAGCAAAUAUUCAAACCAAAAGACUCAAUCGAACUUGAAUUUACCCAGAAUAGAAGCAAUGACACUUCAGAACAAAUUCCACACACAACCAAAACCAAAAAUGCUUAGCGAACGAAAACAAACCCCAAGUUAAACCCAACAGAUGCACCACCUACCUGAAAAGGCAUCAGAAUGCUUCAAUAAAUCCAAACUCAACUGAAAAUACAAAAAUGUGAUGAGGAUAGAUGGAGAUAAGGAAUAAAUUGGCAGUUUCUCAAUGAUACAGUAGAGUCUUUUUGAUUUUUAUGAGUUUUUAUUUGUUUUUUUGGUUUUUGGAAGAUGGAAUUCAAAUUUAGAUCUAAAAAAACUAAGAGAGAGAGCUUCCAGGGGAAUUCGUGAGCUGAAAGGAAUCCCUCACACAAGGCAUUGGGCUGGAUUUUAUAGGCAAAGUGGAGGGGGUCUCAAAUUUAUAUUUGCAAAGCAGUCCCCAACUUUAUUUCUGUUUCCCACCUUUAAAUUUUUAAAAUUGACACCAAGGUCCUAUUGUAGAAUGUUCUAGCGCAUUCUGUAGCAUUUCAUCCUACGUCAAAAGCCCAAAACACCCCUGAGUUCAAACUAACUAAGGACUAUAGUUGACAAAUCCUUUGAACUAUAGUGAUUAACUGGAAUGCAUCCUAAUUAACAAUCAUCAUCAAGUUGAAGUCAACCACACUUAAACAAAACUGAUAAAGAAAAAUCAACAAACCAAAGGCUAAAUUAAAACCUAAUACCAAAUUAGCACAGUUUCACUGAACCAACAUGAAAUAAAU